UACGGAGGGCGCAAGCGUUGUUCGGAAUUACUGGGCGUAAAGGGCGCGUAGGCGGUUUAGUAAGUCAGAUGUGAAAGCCCCGGGCUUAACCUGGGAACAGCAUUUGAUACUGCUAGACUAGAGAUCGAAAGAGGAGAGUGGAAUUGCGAGUGUAGAGGUGAAAUUCGUAGAUAUUCGCAGGAACACCAGUGGCGAAGGCGACUCUCUGGUUCGAUACUGACGCUAAGGCGCGAAAGCGUGGGGAGCAAACAGG
rnacentral:rRNA from 1 species